rnacentral:rRNA from 1 species
AACGAACGCUGGCGGCAUGCCUAACACAUGCAAGUCGAACGAGACCUUCGGGUCUAGUGGCGCACGGGUGCGUAACGCGUGGGAACCUGCCCUUAGGUUCGGAAUAACUCCCCGAAAGGGGUGCUAAUACCGGAUAAUGUCUUCGGACCAAAGAUUUAUCGCCUUUGGAUGGGCCCGCGUUGGAUUAGCUAGUUGGUAGGGUAAAAGCCUACCAAGGCGACGAUCCAUAGCUGGUCUGAGAGGAUGAGCAGCCACACUGGGACUGAGACACGGCCCAGACUCCUACGGGAGGCAGCAGUGGGGAAUAUUGGACAAUGGGCGAAAGCCUGAUCCAGCAAUGCCGCGUGAGUGAUGAAGGCCUUAGGGUUGUAAAGCCCUUUUACCCGGGAUGAUAAUGACAGUACCGGGAGAAUAAGCUCCGGCUAACUCCGUG